GGCGCACGGGUGANUAAUGCAUCGGAACGUGUCCUGGAGUGGGGGAUAACCCAGCGAAAGCUGGGCUAAUACCGCAUAUUGAGGGGACUCGAAAGCGGGGGACCGGUAACGGCCUCGCGCUCGAGGAGCGGCCGAUGCCCGAUUAGCUUGUUGGCGGGGUAAGAGCCCACCAAGGCGACNAUCGGUAGCUGGUCUGAGAGGAUGAUCAGCCACACUGGGACUGAGACACGGCCCAAACUCCUACGGGAGGCAGCAG
rnacentral:rRNA from 1 species